AUUGAACGCUGGCGGCAGGCCUAACACAUGCAAGUCGAACGAGUGGCGGACGGGUGAGUAAUGUCUGGGAAACUGCCCGCUGGAGGGGGAUAACUACUGGAAACGGUAGCUAAUACCGCAUACCAUCGGAUGUGCCCAGUUGGGAUUAGCUAGUAGGUGGGGUAAUGGCUCACCUAGGCGACGAUCCCUAGCUGGUCUGAGAGGAUGACCAGCCAAUCUGGAACUGAGACACGGUCCAGACUCCUGCGGGAGCCAGCAGUGGGGAAUAUUGCACAAUGGGCGCAAGCCUGAUGCAGCCAUGCCGCUUGUAUGAAGAAGGCCUUCGGGUUGUAAAUUACUUUCAGCGAGGAUGCGUUACCCGCAGAAGUAGCACCGGCUAACUCCGUGCCAGCCGCCGCGGUAAUAC
rnacentral:rRNA from 1 species